CCUCUUUUUUCAAAGCUGAGAUCUAUCAUAUCAUCUCAGUUUCACAUCUUUAAUCACUGUUGUAAUGGCCGGUCCUGCCUCCGUUUCCAAACAUUCUUCAAGCUUAUGGCUCUCUUCAAACCCUAGCAAGAGAUGGGGUGAACUCUUCUUUCUUUCCUAUACUCCAUUUUGGCUCACUCUUUCCUUGGGAAUUGUGGUUCCUUUCAAACUCUACGAGAGGUUUACGGAAUUGGAAUAUUUGCUUCUUGGAUUAUUAGCAGCACUUCCUUUUUGAUACCGGUGGUGUGUCCUGGAGAGGUAUCAAUUUACUAGCACUUCAUUUAAAUCUGUAUGAUUCUACUACAAAAGUUCAUUCACAUGUUUGUUUCUGGGAACUUGUGGAUAAUAUCGAUCCACAUAAAUCUUAUCCAAGAUUGAUGGUUCUCUUAAACCGAUAUGAAACUGAAUAUUAGUCACAAUAAAUAAAUCGAGAUCUAAUCAAUUGAAGACAAAGAGGAAGGAAGACUUAUCAAUUCAUCACCUGUAACUUCUUCUUCUGUGAAUAUAGUUCAGAAGAGGAACCCACCUCCUCAAAAUCCCAACCCAAAUCAGAACAACAAUCAGGCACAACACACCAAUAGUUAGAGAGGUGGAUGAUUUCAAGUCAUACCUCUAAAACAAUAAGAAAGCUGAAGAACGAUCGACGGCGAGCGACGGCGUGAAGGAGAUCGACGGCGAGUGAAGAAAGCUGAAGAACAAUCGACGGACGGCGAGGGAAGAAAGCUGAUACCGAUCGAUGAAUGGCAAGGGAAAGGUUUAGGGAUUGGGCGAGGUAAGGUUAGUGACAGCGCAACAGAGGGUUUGGGCGUAAAGAAGAGAAAGAGCACGCGAGCGAUUUAGGGAUAUAUUAUUUAAUAAAUAAAGGAAAAAAAAAA